CACGUAGGCGGAUAUUUAAGUCAGGGGUGAAAUCCCAGAGCUCAACUCUGGAACUGCCUUUGAUACUGGGUAUCUUGAGUAUGGAAGAGGUAAGUGGAAUUCCGAGUGUAGAGGUGAAAUUCGUAGAUAUUCGGAGGAACACCAGUGGCGAAGGCGGCUUACUGGUCCAUUACUGACGCUGAGGCUCGAAAGCGUGGGGAGCAAACA
rnacentral:rRNA from 1 species